GCAGCAGCGCAGCAGUUGGUACUAUUUGUAUUGGUAAUGAUUUUGGCACAGACAGACAGAGCAAAAGAGAAAGAAAAUACAAAGCCAUAGGUGAGAAUAGAAUACAAGAGAGAUAUAUAUAUACUACUAUAUCAGAAGCUCGUGAUGAGAAUUUUUUCUUUACAGUAGUAGCAAACAAACAUCAAAUAUAUCAGAGAAUUAAGAGACUGAUAUUUUUUUGCUUUUCUCGUGAUCUUUCUUUUGUACACGUAAUUAUUACACUUUUUGUUGUUGCUUUAAACCUAGACAGUUUCAACGGGAUUUGCCAAAAACCAUCUCUUUUCUUAGUCUAAACUUAAGCCAGAUAUCUCUCUCUUGUUCAACCUCUAUAUAGAAAGAACAUAUCUCUUUUUUUCCCGUCUUUUUCUAGAGAAAUUUCCUUUAGUUUCCCACUUUUUUUUUUCCAUUUAUUCUGUUGGUGGAAACUGAAGGGAUAGAGGUGAAAAAGAGGAGUCUUGAAAAUACCAUUUUGGAAUUUAAAGAGAUUUUUUUUUUUGAGAAGAAGAAGAAAUUGAAGAAUGGGAAAUUGUGGAAGAAAUGGUGGAGUGAGACAAUAUAUAAGAUCAAAAGUACCGCGUUUGAGAUGGACACAAGUCUAAACUUGAGCCAGAUAUCUCUCUCUUGUUCAACCUCUGUAUAGAAAGAACAUAGCUCUAUUUUUUCCUGUCUUUUUCUACCGAAAUUUCUUUUAGUUUCCCACUUUUUUUCUUCCAUUUAUUCUGUUGGUGGAAACUGAAGGGAUAGAGGUAAAAAAGAGGAGUCUUGAAAAUACCAUUUUGGAAUUUAAAGAGAUUUCUUUUUUGAGAAGAAGA
rnacentral:lncRNA from 1 species